rnacentral:rRNA from 1 species
AGCUCGUGUCGUGAGAUGUUGGGUUAAGUCCCGCAACGAGCGCAACCCCUAUUGUUACGUUGCCAUCAUUCAGUUGGGCACUCUAGCGAGACUGCCGGUAAUAAACCGGAGGAAGGUGGGGAUGACGUCAAAUCAUCAUGCCCCUUAUGACCUGGGCUACACACGUGCUACAAUGGUUGGUACAACGAGUUGCGAGUCGGUGACGGCGAGCUAAUCUCUUAAAGCCAAUCUCAGUUCGGAUUGUAGGCUGCAACUCGCCUACAUGAAGUCGGAAUCGCUAGUAAUCGCGGAUCAGCACGCCGCGGUCGAAUACGUUCCCGGGCCUU